UUUGGUCGUAGACCCGAAACCAGGUGAUCUACCCUUGGUCAGGUUGAAGUUCAGGUAACACUGAAUGGAGGACCGAACCGACUUACGUUGAAAAGUGAGCGGAUGAACUGAGGGUAGCGGAGAAAUUUCAAUCGAACCUGGAGAUAGCUGGUUCUCUCCGAAAUAGCUUUAGGGCUAGCCUCAAGUGAUGAUUAUUGGAGGUAGAGCACUGUUUGGACGAGGGGCCCCUCUCGGGUUACCGAAUUCAGACAAACUCCGAAUGCCAAUUAAUUUAACUUGGGAGUCAGAACAUGGGUGAUAAGGUCCGUGUUCGAAAGGGAAACAGCCCAGACCACCAGCUAAGGUCCCAAAAUAUAUGUUAAGUGGAAAAGGAUGUGGCGUUGCCCAGACAACUAGGAUGUUGGCUUAGAAGCAGCCAUCAUUUAAAGAGUGCGUAAUAGCUCACUAGUCGAGUGACACUGCGCCGAAAAUGUACCGGGGCUAAACAUAUUACCGAAGCUGUGGAUUGUCCUUUGGACAAUGGUAGGAGAGCGUUCUAAGGGCGUUGAAGCAUGAUCGUAAGGACAUGUGGAGCGCUUAGAAGUGAGAAUGCCGGUGUGAGUAGCGAAAGACGGGUGAGAAUCCCGUCCACCGAUUGACUAAGGUUUCCAGAGGAAGGCUCGUCCGCUCUGGGUUAGUCGGGUCCUAAGCUGAGGCCGACAGGCGUAGGCGAUGGAUAACAGGUUGAUAUUCCUGUACCACCUAUAAUCGUUUUAAUCGAUGGGGGGACGCAGUAGGAUAGGCGAAGCGUGCGAUUGGAUUGCACGUCUAAGCAGUAAGGCUGAGUAUUAGGCAAAUCCGGUACUCGUUAAGGCUGAGCUGUGAUGGGGAGAAGACAUUGUGUCUUCGAGUCGUUGAUUUCACACUGCCGAGAAAAGCCUCUAGAUAGAAAAUAGGUGCCCGUACCGCAAACCGACACAGGUAGUCAAGAUGAGAAUUCUAAG
rnacentral:rRNA from 1 species